UUGUAGCAUUAGGUCUCAACAGUUACUAGGAGGCCAGUAGCAUAGUCUUUAAGCACAUGGGCUGCCUCUGUUUGAAGCCUGCCCCUGUCAUUUAUUUAUUCUGUGACCUUGGGCAGAUUACUGAAACUCUCUGAAUCUGUCUCCUCACAGGAAUAAUAAAAGUACCUAUCUCAUAAGGUUUUUGUGAAAAUUUGUAAACAGGUUAUAAGCAAUGCCUGGCACACAGUAAGCAUAAAAAGGAAGAGGAGGAGGAGAAGCACUUUAAUAGCAAUUAUUGUGUGCCAAACCAAAAAACUGAACCCGUUGUCACUGAGUAGAUUCCAACUCAGAGCAACACUAUAGGAUGGUGUAGAAAUGUCCCAUAGGGUUUCCAAGGAGCAGCUGGUGGAUUUGAACUACUGACCUUUUGUUUAGCAGCCUGAGCUCUUAACCACUGUGCCACCAGGGCUCCUAUUUUGUGCCAGGCACUGUUGUAAGAACUUUACAUAUAUUAGCUGUUUUCGUAUGAGGAGCCCUGGUGGCGCAGCGGUUAGGUGUUUAGCUGCUAACCAAAAGGUUGGCAGUUUGAACCCACCAGCCGCUCCAUGGGAGAAAGAUGUGGUAGUCUGCUUCCGUAAAGAUUUACAGCCUAGGAAACCCUACGGGGCAGUUCUACUCUGUCCUAUAGGGUCACUGAGUUAGAAUUGACUCAACGACAAUGGGUUUUGGUUAGUAUUUCUGAUUGCUAUUUCAGGAUCUAGCUUAGUAAACCAUGUUUCUGCUUCAGAAGCAGACACAAGAGGUGGAAAGGAAGCAUCAAUUUAUUCUACUCAACCUUGGUUACAUACUUUAUAAGUCACAAAGCAUCAUUUCCUUGCUGGUAGAGAAAACAAGACAUGGAAGACCUUAGAAGGAUAUCUGAUACCAUCUCAAUUUAAUAGCUGAAUCUAAGGCAUGUGCUAUGCAGUUAGGCAUUUCAGCGGAAAUGAAGAGCUGGCAGAAACUGCCGCUCAACUGGUACCCAUUUAAAGGAAUCCUGAAUCAUGCUGAAUCACAGCAUUUUAGCUGGUCCUCUCUCAAGACAUUUACGUAAUACUUUCUUAUGGCUCUUGUUAUCCGGCAAGUUCAAGGGCAAGGUCUAUGUCUUAACUAGCCACCUUUGAAACCUCUGCAGUCCUCAGAACAAUACUGGACUUGGAACUAGAAGGAUCCAGUAAGAGGAAACAAGGGGCAAAAGAACAGCGCAAGUCUACACAGCUACUACUGAGCCCCAGCGACCCAGACCAAAUGGCUCUCCUGCACUCUCCGUAUCCCUUAAGUUCCAGAGAAUGUCACUUGUAAAUAUGCUAAGCAGGUCCCACGACUGUGUUAUGAGACAGGUAAGUCUCAAUUCCAUUCCCCUCACCAUCUUCACACCUCCCCAGGGCAGGCUCCUUUCCCUCAUCAGGCACUCCUUAUGGGUGGGACACAGCAGUCCCGGCCAGGAGAGCAGCAAGGCCUUCCCGGCCCUGCCCAGGCUCACACAAAACCCCAACGUCUACAGCCUGCACUCACGUCCAUGGCUUGCAGCCCCGGCUUUGAGACAAACCUAAAUAUGUGUAUCGGACAAUGUGGCCUGGUUCUGGAACUGUGUCCAGACCGAGUCAAGGGCGUACGGGUAGGCGCCUUCUUUCCACCCAGGGAGGGGAGGAAUCUUCCCCGGCUUCGCGCUAACCACAGUCACUUCACUGACACCCGUCCCCGGGCAACGCCCGUCGCAGGCUGCCCGGAGAGAUCGCCACAGCAGGCACUCAGAUUAGAGGUACGCGGCCGAAAGCUCUCCCCCGGUGCCCGCUUGGUCCCGUCGCCGAGUGGGGCUGGGCUGGCGUC